rnacentral:rRNA from 1 species
AACGAACGCUGGCGGCAUGCCUAACACAUGCAAGUCGAACGAACCCUUCGGGUCUAGUGGCGCACGGGUGCGUCACGCGUGGGAACCUGCCCUUAGGUUCGGAAUAACUCCCCGAAAGGGGUGCUAAUACCGGAUAAUGUCUUCGGCCCAAAGAUUUAUCGCCUUUGGAUGGGCCCGCGUUGGAUUAGCUUGUUGGUAGGGUAAAAGCCUACCAAGGCGACGAUCCAUAGCUGGUCUGAGAGGAUGAUCAGCCACACUGGGACUGAGACACGGCCCAGACUCCUACGGGAGGCAGCAGUGGGGAAUAUUGGACAAUGGGCGAAAGCCUGAUCCAGCAAUGCCGCGUGAGUGAUGAAGGCCUUAGGGUUGUAAAGCUCUUUUAACCGGGAUGAUAAUGACAGUACCGGGAGAAUAAGCUCCGGCUAACUCCGUG